GGGGGAAAAAUUAAUAAUAAAUUAUAAAAAAAAAAUUUUUAAAAAUAUAUUUUAAUGGGGGUUAAAGUAUAUAUAUAGAAAAAAUUUUAAAAUUUAUAGUGAAAUAGUAUUAUAAAAGAAUUUGGAAAUAGGGGAAAAUAAUUUAUGAAAAAGUAAAUUUAAUUUAUUGUAUCUUGUGUAACAGAGUUUAUUAAUAAUAAUUAUAAAAUAAUAAUUUCUCGAAUUUAAAAGAGUUAAUUAAUUAUAAAAGUUAAUGUGGAAUAAUUAUUUUUAAUAAUUAAUUAGAAAUGAAAUGUUAAUCGUUUUUAAAAAUAUCUAGUUUUUUUAGAAAAAAAUUUAAUUUUAAAUAUUAUAUUUAAAAUUUUUAUUUAUGAAAAUUUUAUUGAUUAAUAUUAAAUAUUUUAAGGGAUAAGCUUUAAAAUAAAUUUUUAUAAUAAAUUGUUUAAUUAUGUUAAAAUUAUAAAAUUUAAAUUGUUUUAAAAAUUAUAAUUUUUUAUAAAUAAUUUAAUUUAAAUUAAAAUUUAAGAAAAAAUUUAAAUUUUUAUAAAAAAAUAUAUUUUAAUAGAAUAAAAUUAGAUAUAAUGAUAAAAUUAGUAUAUAAUUUUUUUUUAAAAAAAAAAAUAUUAAAAGUUAAUUAAAGGAAUUCGGCAAAAUUUUAUAUUCACUUGUUUAUCAAAAACAUGUCUUUUUGGGAAUAAUUUAAAGUCUAAUCUGCCCACUGAUGAAUUAUUAAAGGGCUGCAGUAUUUUGACUGUACAAAGGUAGCAUAAUCAAUAGUCUCUUAAUUGGUGACUUGUAUGAAAGAUUGGAUGAGAUAUAUACUGUCUCUAAUUAAUUUAUAGAAGUUAAUUUUUUAGUAAAAAAGCUAAAAUAAUUUUAAAAGACGAGAAGACCCUAUAGAGUUUAAUAAUUUAUUUAAUUAUUAAUAAUAUAUAAUUUUUAAAAUUAAAAUUAAAUAAAUUAUUUUGUUGGGGUGAUAGAAAAAUUAAAUUAACUUUUUUUAAUUAUUAACAUUAAUUUAUGAUUAAAUGAUCCAUUUAUAAUGAUUAAAAGAAAAAAUUACCUUAGGGAUAACAGCGUAAUUUUUUUUUUUAGUUCAAAUAGGAAAAAAAGUUUGCGACCUCGAUGUUGGAUUAAGAUAAAAUUUAAAUGCAAAAGUUUAAAAUUUUGAUCUGUUCGAUCAUUAAAAUCUUACAUGAUCUGAGUUCAAACCGGUGUAAGCCAGGUUGGUUUCUAUCUUUAAAUAAUUAUAAUAUUUUA
rnacentral:rRNA from 1 species